rnacentral:lncRNA from 1 species
AUGGAAUUGCAAGAUUGGUACAGUGAGGCUGGGACUGCCUUUAGCCCUGUGUGCCUCCCUUGGGGGAAGGCUACCAGGCGCUCUGAGACCAAGACCUCACGGCUGUUCGAAUGCAGGAUAAAAUUAUUUCUUUAACAAAAAAAAGAGUACAUUUAUAAAGGUACCGAGGAAGAAUAACCCUUGAAAUCAGUCAGUGUCAUGGGGACAAGCAUACAGAAGUGCCUUGAUCUGGCCCCUGAAGGAAACAGUCUUUUAACCUCCACCUAGCUCAUAAGAACUCCUGUGAACUUUUCUUUAACUACUGUGUUCAUAGUCUAUUCAUUUGGAUCCCCUGCUAUUAGCCGUUUGAGUUAUGACAUCCAGGGUGCAGAGUGAUGCUGAUGUCAUUAAAGCUAUCUGGUGGGGCAGCACAGUGCCACAAAAGGAAAGACAUCACAGAAAGGAGAUUAACAAGCCCUACACUAGCCUAGGUGAUGACUGUGACAGGCGUCAAAGCUGCAAACAUCUUAUUGUUUAUGGAGACUGGGGAUCCCUGCAUUGGACCAUGACCAGAUGGCUUACAUCCCAACCAGCAUCAACAAUUCUUUAUUCUCCAGUGUUGCUGUCUAUGCUCCGUCGUUUUUCCUUUUU